rfam:Oryza sativa (indica cultivar-group) chromosome 4, whole genome shotgun sequence.
ACUAAUUGUAGCCAUGAUUUUCCGCGCUCAACUUUGAUCGUCCGUCUUAUUUAAAUUCUUUUUAUAAUUAGUAUUUUUGUUGUUAUGAGAUGAUAAAAUAUGAAUAGUACUUUACUCGUGACUUAUAUUUUUAAUUUUUUUUAAAAGAAUUUUAAAUAAAACUAAUGGUUAAAGUUGAACACGGAAAAUCAUGGCUGUAUUUAUU